UUAAACCAGUAAUAUUGGAUCUAAUUUAAUUAUAUGCAUACCUAAAUCAGGAGAAUUAGGUGUUAUACAUAAUUUCCUGAACACAUAAUCUUACAACUAACUAAAAUGUCAGUUGUUUCAGAGGCACAUAUUCCAAUGAACCUUUUUCUAAUGAACUUUCUUCUUCUUAUAUAGGCCUAACUGACGUUUUAGUUGACUACACAGCAAAUUCUGUGUGUGUUUGGUCAUUUGUGACAACCUGCGAGUAUCAGCUAUUUAAUUAGGUUUAAGAAAGUACAGAAAUAUCCCCAUUCAGAUAGUUGUUUGAGUGGUGAAGAUUUGCAUUUACAGAAUAGAAUGGUGAGGGGAAAGGUGAAUCUGCAAAAAAUACAAGACCCUGUAAAUCGUCGGGUUACAUUAUACAAACGCAAGGCGGUAUUGGUGAAGAAUGCUAAGGAGAUAUCUGUUCUCUGCUAAGCUGAAAUUGGCCUCAUCAUUUUGUCGCCUACGGGGAAGCUCUUCGAGUUUGCCAGCCCCUGGGGAAGUCACUGGCUGAUGAUUUUAUUGUAACGCAGGGGAAGUCACUUAAACUGGAGUACUCUAAUCUGGAUAAAAAGAUUGGAGUCACAAGCCAUGCCACCUUAAUAUUGGCAUGAUGGAAGAAUUAAAUGAUAGAUUGGAAAGUGAAGCUGCAACUCAACAAGAUCUGCCUCGAACUUUUCUUAAUAUCACGUAAUUUUCAUGAUAAUAAUUUCUGCAAAUUGAUUCUUCUUUACCUCAAAAGAGAUUUUUUUAAUCAAUUCCUUGUACGUGCAGCCUGUCAUGAAUUUGAGGGCAGAUUUUCUGUAACUUAUAUAACCAUAUGAUUGUUGGAAGUGAAGUCUAAGGGACUCCUUCUCUUGUCGUCAAAACUCUUGGCUCUUCAACUUCUCUUUGCAAGCUCUUUAAGAGCUGAUUGUAUUUCAUUUGUAGACUGAUUUUUCUGGAGCUGCUUGCAGCUGUGUAUGUGUAAACCAGAUUGGUUAUUAAUCUA